AACGAACGCUGGCGGCGUGCCUAACACAUGCAAGUCGAGCGAGAAAGUUCCUUCGGGAGCGAGUACAGCGGCGCACGGGUGAGUAACACGUAGGUAACCUACCCUGUAGUCCGGGACAACUGGAGGAAACCCCAGCUAAUACCGGUUAAGACCACGGCCCCUUCGGGGGCUGCGGCCAAAGACUGCCUCUGCUUGCAAGCAGGUGCUGCGGGAUGGGCCUGGGGGCCAUUAGCUUGUUGGUGAGGUAACGGCUCACCAAGGCCGUGAUGGCUAGCUGGUCUGAGAGGAUGACCAGCCACACUGGGACUGAGACACGGCCCAGACUCCUACGGGAGGCAGCAGUGGGGAAUAUUGCGCAAUGGGCGAAAGCCUGACGCAGCGACGCCGCGUGGGUGAUGAAGGCCUUCGGGUCGUAAAGCCCUGUCGCAGGGGAAGAACAAGUGGCGGGUUAAUAGCCCGUCAUCCCGACGGUACCCUGCAAGAAAGCACCGGCUAACUCCGUGCCAGCAGCCGCAGUAACAC
rnacentral:rRNA from 1 species